CUUCCAGAGCAAGGAUGUUGCUACUGUAGUGGUUAUUUUGAUUCUUCUAGUUGGUUUAGAAUUUGAGAGUGAUCCUAUCUUUGCCCAAUAGGCAUAAUGCAGUCCUGUAAUCUCUUUAUUCAGUGUAGUAUGUGAAGACAGUUCUUAAUGCAUCCCCAAAACCUCUUAAUGUCCUAUGUAUUUCACUGGAGUGUGUUUAAAUAGUUUGUAUUGUUUAUUGCUGCAAACUUUAUGAUGCCACAAAAGAGACCCAAGUUAAACAAUAUUUGUACAACUCUUGCAACUCUUACUAUAGCUGAUCUUGAAAUAGCUACUGUCCUACUGUUUCUGUUCUCUGUUCUCCAGAGUUACCUUCCUACUGACACCAGCUCACGGAGGAUGGGGCCUGCUAUCAUUUUACUGCUUGUAAAACUAACAAUAUACGUUAAAGCGGUGACUUUGGCUGUAUUUAUACAAAUUAUUUUGUUUGUUCUGAACACAGUUUAAUUUCUUUUAUUGGUCCUGAAAGUUGACUCUUUAAAAGAAACAUUUGACAAUGGCGUAUAUAAUAUAUGUGGUUUAUUUUCCUUCUCUGUGUUUUUGUGGAUUAAAACAAAAUAAAAUUGCUUUCAGGAAGACUCACCAGGGAGGUUUAAAUACCGCACAGGAGAACUUCGCAGGGUUGCUUUUGGAAAACAGACCAUAAUGUUGCUGUAAUUAGUUUGCUUGGCUCUACAUUCAUACCUCGGGUUGAAGUGACUUCAGGUUGAGUGUUUUCGGGUUGUGCUUUGCGGUGACCCGGAAGUAACGGAGCAUGUUACUUCUGGGUUUCGCCGCUUGUGCAUGCGCAGAUGCUCAAAAUGACGUCACACGCAUGCACGUAAGCGGCGAAUCGUGACCCGCAGACGUGGGUUGCGUUCGCUUCAGGAUGUGAACAGGGCUCCGGAACGGAUCCUGUUCGCAUCCAGAAGUUCUACUGUAUAUUGAAGUCUUCAGUCAUGCUUUGAUCCUGCAUUGAAUUCUUCAUGAAAAGAACACACAGGUUUUGCUAAUUCAGUAUAGUCUUAAAUACACAACCAGAAUAUUACAUGCAAGUUUUUUGCUCUAUAUUUAUUAUCUUAAAGCUUUAAUCGGCUAUCGUAUUUAGUAUUUUACAUGCAUGCCACAAAUAAUCCUUUAGUUAUCAGUGACAUUUUUUUUCUAUGUAAGACUCAAAAUGAUGUCAUUUUUGGAGUUUGUAUUCAAGAAUUUUAUUAUGCAUAGAUCUCAAAAUUACUACUGGGAAGAACAGAAUUAAAGGAACAAACUUUAAAUAUUAUAAUUAAAUUAACACUAAAGUCAGUUGUCAAACAUUUGCUCUGCUAGAAGUAAUCUACAUUCAGUUCAAAGCAGAAAUGUAAAUAAAACUAUAUAAACAUUAUAAAGCUGUGUAAGAACAUUUAAUCUCUGUAGUGGAUUGCAGCACAUUUUAUUGAUAUUUUAAAUAUUUAAUGUGGACAAAAACAGAUUUGACAUACAUGAUUCUGGUACCAUAUAUUUGUGAGCUUUUGCUUUCACAUGAUAUUGUAUUCCUGGUGGCUCAGUUAAAUGCUAGGGUUUGCUUUGCCAAUUACAUUUGCAUAGUUGUUUCUGUACUACUUCUCUUAAGUAUGUACUAGUAAGGUCUUGUACAAACAUACACGUAUGCGUGAAGGUUUCCUCAAUGAUGCCAAACUGCACUGUGAACCAUGUGUAUAUAUUAAUGUAAUGUUUGCUGGUGUUGGUGUACUAUCCAUGACUCAUUUUAAAAUUGUGGACGAAGAGCAGAUGUAAUAACGAUUUCCUUAAGUUCUUGUAAUGCAUUAUAGCUUUCAAAAGCAUGUGAUGCAUAUUUUCAUUGUUUUUCUGUAGGAGACUAAUGUUUAAUACCCUAUUUAAAAUUAAGUGUUUCUUUAAAAGUGCCUAUGUUGAUGCAUUUCUAUUUGUGGAGGACUAGACCAAUCCUAUUUUCCCCUCCUGUAGCUGUUGAAGCUUAAGUUGGAGUGCAUCCUGUGUGGUUGACCUGAGAGAAACUACUCUGCCCGAUUACGUUUAAAAGCCAGAAGCAAGCUUGUUGCAUUUUCUAGCUGGCAUAGGGCUGUGUUGCAGAAACCUUGAGUAUGGCUCAAGCUGAUUGCCCUGUCAUUUCUUUCCACUUCUUUGCACGGCAUUCCUGUGUUCUGUAUAAGGAUUUCCCUCCUGUGUUGAAAUAGAAGCACUGAUAGCACUAGGACCAAUCAGGGCCGGAUUUAGGUUUGAUGAGGCCCUAAGCUACUGAAGGUAAUGGGGCCUAUAUGUCCAGCUGUCCUUUGUCAACAACAAAUUGUCACUGUUUUUUGUGUUGAAUAUAUGCUAUAUGGUAAUUUAUGGACCUAGUAGGUAACUAAGGCCAAUUGCUCAUAACAGAAUAUGUAUUUUAUCAAAGUAAUUGUUGGACUGAAAUACAAUUGGAAAUGUACAUCCAGGUUGUUUUUUCCUUUAAAUUUUUUUGGGCCCCCCAAGAGAGUGGGGCCCUAAGCUAUAGCUUGUUUAGCUUAUACAUAAAUCCAGCACUGGGACCAAUCUGAGUGCAUGGGAAAAUGAAGUAUUUGGCCUUAUAAAUCCUGAGCUCAGUUCUGUUCUGUUAUUUCUUCAUGACAAGUUUGUAAAUGACUGACAAACGUAUGAUGAAUGUUAUUGUCUUGCAAAAGACCAAGUAGAGAAUAUUUUCAUUUUACUUUCAGGUUCACAAAUGAUGAAAGUUACAAUCCGGUACACGUGUAUUUGGAUGUAAACCCCAUUUAACUCAGUAGGUCUUUUGAGUUGACAUGUAUAGGAUUGCGUUGGAGCACAGCUACAUUUGGCCAAGUAGGUUACUAAGACUUUUUCUGGGUGAAUAAGUUGUGAAUCUGGAUGGUUCAAUUUACUUCUAAUAUCUCUCAUGGAUAAUUUGCCUUUCCUAAGCCAUGCUACUCACAAAAUAUAGUUCUGAUCUUUGCCUAAUUGUCUAAUGGAGCUUCAGAGUCCAUUAGGAAUACAGAUAGUUAUAGUCAUAAGUGAAAAUUGAAUCAAUAGAAGAACCUUUCAAACUAGAUGUAUGAGGGGAAAUAGGCUUGAUAAUUCUUGAAAAUGUAUGCUGUAAAUCGUACAAAAUGACAGGGUGCUGACCACACCCAACUUCUGCUUUUUUGUUCUUGAAUCAGCAUUCUUAGGAGCUGUUUUAUAAACAAGCCCUUUGUAUGCCUCUGAAAUGUGGUAACAUUUAGAUUAUAAGGCUAUUUUGCAAGCAUAUGAAGCAGUUGGCUUUCAUAUGUUUUCUUUGACUGUUUGUCACUAUUUUAAUGACAAUAAAAUGAUAAUUCUUGUGUUCUGUGAUGUGCAGUGUUUGUGAGAGGACUAGAGUAUUAAAUCAGGGUGGAGUUGGAAUAGGUUUUCUGAAACUGUUACAAGUUUGCUCAUAGUUCAAGAAUGUAUGUGGUAAGAUUCAAAUCUCCGAAAAAUGUCUCUUCAGUUUUGUGUUGCACCCUUUGAAAAUUAUCAGUUUUUCCUUUUUAUACUAGUCAUAUCGUUUUUCUUACAAUAUUCAACAGUUGGUGAGAAUCUUUACAUAAUUUCAUAGUAAUAUUUAAUAUGUAAAACAGUGCUUCAAGAUGAAGGUGAAAAGCUUUUCUCCCCUGCAGUAUUUACUUUCCUUAUUACAUUUAGCAAACUUCUAACCUAGUUAGGAGAAUUAUUGCCUAUUUGCUGGCCAGUUUGAAACAAUAGAACUGUUUUGGGAACUAAGCAGAGGUUAUAUGUCUCUUUCUUUUCCUUAAACCCUCCUUUUUCCACUGUUGCACCUCAUUAUCACCUAUGUAGUCUUGUGUAAGACUGUUGGUGAUUUACUCCUCUCAAGAAUCAUGGAAGACUGCAAGUGGUCUUAAAUUUUCAAAAUAAACUUUACUAUAAAGAUUCAAAUGACUGAAGCAUUCACACAGCGCUUAAACUAUAGAACUUGCUGCUACAGGAGGCAGUGAUGGCCACCAACCUAGAUAGCUUUAAAAGAGUGUUGAACAGGUUCAUGGAGAAGACCAUCAAUGGCUUCUAGCCAUGAUGGCUAUGCUAUGCCUCCACAGCUUGAGGUUUCCAAAUACCAGGUACUGGAGACUGCAGGAGGGAAGAAUACUCUUGUGCUCAGACUCUGCUUGAAAAUUCCCCUUAGGCAUCUGGUUGGCAAGUGUGAAAACAGGAUGCUGGACUAGAUGGAAUAUUUGGAAAUUAUUUCCUAAGUGUAUAAAGAUGUCUGGAAUAAACUCUAGGAGCAUAAAAGCAGUAGUCUCAGUAGGCUAAGGCUCCUGUCGUCUUGUUGUUUUUGAAUAAUAAAUGGGUGGUAAUUAUUACUAUACCAUAUUAACACAGAAUAAAUCUAUAGUCAGCUGUGACAAGUAAACAGAUUAACUGUCUACCAGCAUAUACAGCAUAAAGUUGUUUGAUAUAGGUUUAGGGAGAUAAAAUAAGGUAUCACAUAUCACUAUGGUUUUUAAAUUUAAAAAGUUGACCUUUUCAUUAAAAACAUCACUUGGUUUCAAACUGCAUGUAGUAGUCUGACUUGAAGCAACUAAAACCAUGCUGUUUUGUAGCUUCCUGCUGUUGGCACCGAAUGGAUGUUUGCUUCUGCAUUGUAUGAACUUCAUUUUAAUUGUGGGUUGUUCAUAAAUAAUUCAUCUGAUAAAAUUAAUAGUGCAAUUUAACAUUAUAAUGAAAGACAAGGCCUUUCACUUUAUCUUGUUAUAUGUCUUGCAUCAGUACCAAAUUAAUGUAACAUUAUUUCAAAUAAGUAUUUUAAAAAAAAAUAUGUAUCUCAGAUAAAUUUCAGUGGAGUUAUAUUGGAGAGUCUCAGCUUGAUCUUUCAUCAAUAUUUGUUAAUCUGUUAACAUUUGUUACAGUUUCUACUAUUAAGCAAACCAAACUUCUUUGAUAUAGAAUAAUCAGUUUGCUAUUGUUAGCAUUUCUGAGGAACCAAGAAUAUCUGCCUUCAAAUUUGGUUGGCUUGUCUUCAGUUUCACAGCAGAGCCUAUAGAGUGCUGUGGAACUAUUUUUUGUGUAUGUCUACUUUAUAUAUUUCAAAAACAGUGCAAUGGAGAGGAUUUGAUUUGGCUUGACUUUAUAAGGAAGGAUAAAUGUGGAAAAGAAAGGUAUUUUGGCUGACACACAGCUGUUACAAUUGUAAAAUGAUAGAUGACAAAUCAUAUAAUAUAAAUGAACAUGCAAAUGAUUUUCUUCAGCAUGAUUCCAUGCAUGAGAUUAUAUAUAUCAUUAUUUAACAUGGUGCUGCAUUGGUCUAGUUUAAAUAAAUAAUAGGAAAAGCUAUGGAGUAAUUCAGAAAAAAUAGUACCAUAAAUACACUAAAACUUGAGUAUUGCCGAACAUAUCAGCAGGGAUAAGCAAUUUCCUGUUCACAUUCAGGACUUCCUAUGGAGGUACAGUCUGCGUGACUACCUAAUAACAUGUACAUGAAAAUUGAUUAGUUCUAUUUUUCUCUCCUAAUUGCUAUAGAUCUGAACUUGUGAAAUUGACCAAAAGUAGUAUGUUGACAUCACAAUUGCACAACAAAAGCAUUCUGCUUUAAAUAAUACUCUGUUAUUUUCUUGAAAAGGUCUUGGUUGGAUGACUCAUACUCUUUAUAAACCACAUUAUAAUGAGCUACUUGGAGAGACACAUUUUCUCUUUCCUUCAUCUUUUGACAAAGGGAUGUGCAUUAUGGCUUUUUAAGUUGCUUUGAGCCUUUGUAACUAUAUACCAGAAGAAGAGUAGGGAAUGUAUAGAACAUUCCAAGAAGCUACUAGAUAAGGUUGAAAUAGUUUCAGUUCUCAUAUUUAUUAAACACAGUUUUCCAUAAUAGAAAAAGCAUUCUAAAGAGUAUUUAGUGUUCCUGAAUGAGUCACAUUUCUCUGCAGUUAUAAAUAUACUCCAGACAAGAGUUCUUGGUUUCUUGUGCUUUCCUGAACAACUCAGAGCUAAUGCAUCUUAGGCUUCUGGAAAUAUAUGCUGUCAUUUCUCUUUCCCCCCUCCCUCCCCCGACUCUGCAACUAGAAUAAUUUGAACAAAUGGAUCCCGAUUAAUUAGGUACUUUUGUUGUUGCUAUUUGGUGCUACGAAUUUUAUAUUUUUUAUGAACUGGGGUCGGGACUUAUGGAAAAAGUUAAUAAAGCAGCCUGUAAAGUCAUCAGGCAUGACUUUGGGGGUCAGCCGAUGUGCAUUUCCAGAUCUACUGCAAAGUUGAUCCUGAGUCUGGUUUUAUUUAUUUCUUCAAUAUUCCUAAAGCUCACAUUUCGAUUUGCUGUCUAAGAUAUUAUCAGUGUUUGUUCAAAGUAAAAAGGCCUUGAUCAAGUGGCCUUCAUUACUCUUUACAUGCGUCUCCACUGAACCUAACAACCUGAUGUCAAGGUUUCCUAUGCAACCAAAGACAGCAAAGAGGAAAGUGUUAGGUUGUUUCUUCAGACAAAUUCUAUUGCUGUGGCUGUCUUCAGUUCCAAGGGAAACAAUUUAUAUUCCACCUUCCGGAUUUCAUUACAUGUCUUCAUGAAAAUAAAGUUAGCCAAGAAGUAGUACUUAAAUGAAUGAUUUUGCAUGUUGAGUGCCCUGGGGCUGCUUAUACUCCAUAUGUUUUAAGCAUAUUCCCUCACUAAAAAGUCAUAAGAACUGUAGUUUACCUCACAGGGAGCUACAAUUCCCAGCACCCAUAACAAGCUAUAGUUCCCAAGUUUCUUGUGGGGGACAGUGCUUUAAAUGUAUGGAGUGUGUUGUACCUUAAACUCAGGACUAAAAUGAUUGGUUGAACUGGGUUCCAAAAGCUUUAACAGAGGUAAUUGUUUGGUAAUUGUACUUUACACUACAUAUCUUCUUCGAAUCUUACGGGCUUCCCCCCACAACCAGUAAUUUCUGUUGAGUAAUUUCAUACAUGUGGACAUUAUAUGGCUAUAAAUCUGUGUAUUUCCCAUGUAACUGGUGAUACUGAGAAUCCUAGCAUGUCCUUUUGUGGAUAGAAAUAAAAAAAUUGUGGCAGUCUUCCCUGUCAACAUAAUUGAAAAUGUAUUGUGUGAAAUCUGGUGUGCUACUCUUGCCAGUUUGAGGGGCAGAGUUGAUGGUGUCUCAUGACUCUCCUCCCAAAAAAAGAUUCUGG
rnacentral:lncRNA from 1 species